AGGAAGUCUCUCCCUACAAAGACCUAUACUGAUGUUCAGAGCAGCUUUAUUUGUUUUGGGUUUUUUUUUGGUACCUGGGAUCGAACUUGGCUCCUUGAGCUUGCAAAGCAGGUGACGAAACCACUGAGCUAAAUCCCUGGCCCCCAGAGCAGCUUUAUUUGUGAUAGCCCCAAAUUAGCAACAAUGCAAAUGUCAUUCAGCAAAUCAACACAUGAAAAAAGACAUUGAGGAAUAUCCAUACAAUGGAACAAAGGAUAUACACAAUAACACAAAAUAACAUGGAAGCAACUAUGCUGCGUGAAAGAAACUAGAUUAAAAAAGUACUAACUAUGAUUCUAUUUCUGUAAAACUCUAGAAAAUGCAGACUAAUCUACAGAAUCUGAAGGAAGAUCAGUGUUUGCUUGAGGGUAGUGAAGGGCUGGAGAGAGGAUUUCCGGGACACAUGUGGAGACCUUGCCUGUGAUGGAUAUGUUCCCUCUCCCAAAUACAGUGAUGGCUUCAUGGGUCACUUGCCUCCUUGGACCUCAGUUUCUGCACCUGUAUUUCCUCGGGCCUCUCUGCUUGGAACUGGAGCUGGAAUUCCUCUCCAUGGACCUGAAGUGUUCAAUCCUCUAUGGAACCUCAGCUCUCUGCAGCAGGUAGUGAACUAACCACAUUCCUUCUAAACUGCAGGAACUAAGCAGUAUGGUUCCUGUGGGACUGGGACUCAGCAUUCGUGUUCCCCUGUGGAGGUUACCGAAGAAGUUCUUCAUGGAUGUAGGUUAUGUUUAGGAUGAGAAGAGCUAAUGCCUUUGGGGGUGGGCCAGUCCCCCCCCACAAAUACCUGUUUUUACUAAGUACUCACAGUGUCCUGGGAGCUCUGCUAAGCUUUAAAUACAUUUUAAUUUCAUCUCCCAACGGUCUCAUGAGUAAGUAUUAAAGUUAUCUCCAAUAUAUAGAUUCGCUAAAAAAUGUAUGCAAACUUCAGGAAAAGAAAAACUUGUACAAGUAUUUUAAUACUAAAUUUAUUGGGACAUCAAAGUUAGCUUUGGCCUCUACAAUUAGAAGAGGGUGCUCAAAGUUCAUUAGCUUGCAGACAUUUAUUAUUUUUCUUUUCCUGAAAUGUGUAUAUUUUGGGGAUGGGGUGGACUCUGUAUAUACUGGGCAUAUCUUUGGCUGCAAGUAAAAGAUUCCCUUCUUUCAAUCAGGACAUUUAACUAUAUCACACAAUCAGUUCUACAUGUUGCAACAGCUCAAGGGAAUCAUCUAUGACUAGAUCUUUUCUGUUCAACAACCCUUGUCUGUUAUUGCCAAUUGCAAAUGACCCAUCAAGAGCUGGUGUCUGUUUUCCCACCUCUAGAAUUUGGAUUCCCCAUGUGAAUGUUGAUCAGUAGAAUGCAAGGGAAAUGAGAAUGAGAGAGCACUAAGCCCAGGUCUCAGGACACCUUGACCUUUCACUCCUGUGCUCUUGAAAUGCUGUUGCAUGUAAGCAAGCCUGAGCUAACCUCUACUUAUGGGGAGAGAGACUUGGCCUUCCCAUGGGGUGAGAAAUACAUAAAAAUUAUCCCAGCAAUUCUUGUGGAGCAGAUGAGCCAACCCAGCUGAUCCCAGCUCAAAUUUCUGACCUGCAGUAUCCUGAACAAUAUGUGAUUAUUUUAAGCCAUUGUGUUUUGGAUGUUUUGUCAGUCAAUAAAAUCUAACUGAUACAGCUAUGUUGGCUAUUUGUCCUUCGGUUUGUCAUCUGUCUUAUGGUUGUAAAAUAGCUAGUAUAGUUUCAUAAAACUGCCAAGGCAGUGAAAAUGGAACAGAUCAAAAUAGAACUAUUUUCUCACAAUGCUCUUCUUUUUAUCAGAAAUGAAAAUCUUUUUCUUUCUGUUUAAAUUUUCAUAUUUUAUUCCUUGUAUCAAUAGAUUAAGAAAUUAAAAUUUUCC
ensembl:lncRNA